ACAAACAACAACUCCAAAAAUGCUAAAAACUAUUUAAAGGUGUAAGGAGAUGAUUAAGUUUUUGAAUUAUAAAGUGAUAAAGCUAUUGGUUACAUUCAAAGGGGUGAGGGUGGAGAAAUUUGGUUGAAACCGGAAAGUUUACUUAUGUUACAAUUAUCUUUAUUUCCUUAUUUCUUUUUCCAACGAACAUUGAGGAUGAGCUAAUUUUUAUCCUUUUCAAAUUUAAUUUUUACUUUUCAUUUUUACGCGCCCAUCAGAUGUAACAGAGUUUCUGAUUGUCCAAAGAUACGUUGCAAUAUUGGUUUUGUACUAAGGUGUUUAUAUAACCAAUGUAAAUGUGUUAGAAUUACUCAACUAGUAGAUUAUGUGCUCAAAUGAUUUUGUAUUUAGUGCCAGACUUCAAGAGAGUCAUGCUCAAACUUUUAACUAAUUGUCAUUUGGUUAUUGUAUUGGAACUCAAUAAUUUGAAUUUCUUUCCUCUUUA